CCUACGGGGGGCAGCAGUGGGGAAUAUUGGGCAAUGGAGGCAACUCUGACCCAGCAACGCCGCGUGAAUGAUGAAGGUCUUCGGAUUGUAAAGUUCUGUGAUGGGGGAUGAAAACAAUGACGGUACCCCAAUAGCAAGCCACGGAUAACUACGUGCCAGCAGCAGCGGUAAUACGUAGGUGGCAAGCGUUAUCCGGAAUGACUGGGCGGAAAGGGGGCGUAGGUGGUUUAGUAAGUUGGCGGUGUAAUUCCGGGGCUCAACCUCGGCGCUACCGCCAAGACUAUUAGACUAGAGUGCAGGGGGGGUAAGUGGAAUUCCUAGUGUAGCGGUGGAAUGCGUAGAUAUUAGGAAGAACAUCAGGGGCGAAGGCGACUUACUGGACUGUAACUGACACUGAGGCACGAAAGCGUGGGUAGCAAACAGGAUUAGAUACCCGGGUAGUC
rnacentral:rRNA from 1 species